GGGGAAUAUUGCACAAUGGGGGAAACCCUGAUGCAGCGACGCCGCGUGGAGGAAGAAGGUCUUCGGAUUGUAAACUCCUGUUGUUGAGGAAGAUAAUGACGGUACUCAACAAGGAAGUGACGGCUAACUACGUGCCAGCAGCCGCGGUAAAACGUAGGUCACAAGCGUUGUCCGGAAUUACUGGGUGUAAAGGGAGCGUAGGCGGGGAGGCAAGUUGAAUGUCUAAACUAUCGGCUCAACUGAUAGUCGCGUUCAAAACUGCCACUCUUGAGUGCAGUAGAGGUAGGCGGAAUUCCUAGUGUAGCGGUGAAAUGCGUAGAUAUUAGGAGGAACACCAGUGGCGAAGGCGGCCUACUGGGCUGUAACUGACGCUGAGGCUCGAAAGCGUGGGUAGCAAACAGGAUUAGAUACCCUGGUAGUCCACGCCGUAAACGAUGAUUACUAGGUGUGGGGGGACUGACCCCUUCCGUGCCGGAGUUAACACAAUAAGUAAUCCACCUGGGGAGUACGGCCGCAAGGCUGAAACUCAAAGGAAUUGACGGGGGCCCGCACAAGCAGUGGAGUAUGUGGUUUAAUUCGACGCAACGCGAAGAACCUUACCAAGUCUUGACAUCCCUUGACAGGCAUAGAAAUAUGUUUUCUCUUCGGAGCAAGGAGACAGGUGGUGCAUGGUUGUCGUCAGCUCGUGUCGUGAGAUGUUGGGUUAAGUCCCGCAACGAGCGCAACCCUUAUGGUCAGUUACUACGCAAGAGGACUCUGGCCAGACUGCCGUUGACAAAACGGAGGAAGGUGGGGAUGACGUCAAAUCAUCAUGCCCUUUAUGACUUGGGCUACACACGUACUACAAUGGCGUUAAACAAAGAGAAGCAAGACCGCGAGGUGGAGCAAAACUCAGAAACAACGUCCCAGUUCGGACUGCAGGCUGCAACUCGCCUGCACGAAGUCGGAAUUGCUAGUAAUCGUGGAUCAGCAUGCCACGGUGAAUACGUUCCCG
rnacentral:rRNA from 1 species